UACGUAGGGUGCAAGCGUUGUCCGGAAUUAUUGGGCGUAAAGAGCUCGUAGGCGGUCUGUUGCGUCGGCUGUGGAAACCCGGGGCUCAACCCCGGGCCUGCAGCCGAUACGGGCAGACUAGAGUUCGGCAGGGGAGACUGGAAUUCCUGGUGUAGCGGUGAAAUGCGCAGAUAUCAGGAGGAACACCGGUGGCGAAGGCGGGUCUCUGGGCCGAUACUGACGCUGAGGAGCGAAAGCGUGGGGAGCAAACAGG
rnacentral:rRNA from 1 species